GCAGCUCAGUGGUAGAGCAUCUGCUUUGCAUGUAGAAGGUCCCAGGUUCAAUCCACUCUAGGUGCUGCA